GGGUUUACUGUUUCGAGGGAUUUUACUUACAUUGAUGAUAUAGUGAAGGGCUGUUUAGGUGCACUGGAUACUGCUACCAAGAGUACUGGAAGUGGCGGGGUUAAGAAAGGCCCGGCGCAAUUGCGGGUUUAUAAUCUUGGGAAUACCUCACCGGUGCCAGUUAGAAAGCUUGUUAAUAUUGGAGAAGUUGUUGAAGGUUAAGGCUAAUAAGGUAGUGUCGCCAAUGCCUGCAAAUGGGGAUGUGCUGUUUACUCAUGCUAAUAUUAGUUUAGCAAGGAGGGAGCUUGGUUAUAAGCCUACUACUGACUUGCAAUCAGGAUUGAAGAAAUUUGUUGCGUGGUAUCUGGAUUACUAUAAACCAUCCGGGAAGAAGAGUUCUGUCUAAAUUGGUGGAUCUGUGGUGUGAUCAUUUGAAUCUAUAUUUGAUUCUAUUCAUGUGAUUUUACACGCUUUAUCAUUUGUUAAUUAUUCAUCGUUCAUUUAGCUACACGCUGCUGUGACACAAAGGGAUUGGUCAUUCUGUCCCCAUAUAGGAAUUUAAUGGUCGUUGUGCAUGCUAAGGACCUCCAGAAAUGUAAUGAGAAACCGGAAGCAUUUCCCUUUCUCUUCUUCGUUGUUUUUUCGUUCUUUCUUUUUUCCAUCAAGAUUUUAGUCCUAGUUUAGGAUUUUUUUCAAUCAGAAUUCUGUUGCAAUUGUUAUUUUUGGUUUCAUUAAUCUUCUGUUACCUAUUCUGUUUUGUCCAUGUCAAUUUAUGACAAGAGUAGAUAGAUAUAGUAAUGUCCUUGUCUACUUUCCUCAGUUUUGCAUAAAUUAUUAAUAUGUUAGGUGCAAUUCCUGUUGUGUUUCUCAAUUAUGGGUGUUUUGGAUGCGAUUCUUUUUCUCCUUUUCUUUCUGGGUAGUGUUCGACAUUCUUAUAACUGGUUGAUGAGUCACAUUUUGGCCGGAUUCACAUAAUCCUUUCCAUUUCACUUUCCACUUUCAACGUCAUGGUAUGUUUUUGAAGAAGGCCUAGUUAAAUCUACUUGCAAUGAUUUUGUGUCUCUCUUUUGGUUGAAACCUGCGAUUUACAGGAUGUCAUAGUGAAAAACAAUGACUGUAAUUGAUGUUCCUAAGCAGAAAACUUCGAUAACCUUAACCAAUUGGAUAUGGGGUCCGAAUAGUAAAACUUUACAAAACAUCAUUUGAAAGAAGCUACACUCAGCUUCAGCUGGAAAAAGUUAAACAAUCCCAGUAACUAAAACGAUAUGAACUCGCCAAUAGAGCAAAGAGAGGGAAUAUCUCAAAGUCUAAUAUCAACUCAAGAAUCUUUAAACCUUGUUAUUUUCUCGAGAAUCUUUACACCUUGUGUUCUCAAGAAUCUUUGAACCUUGUGUUUAUUGAUGCUUUGGCCAUCUUCCUCAUGUGUGCCUAUGCAACGGUGUGUUAGGGUUUCAAAUUGGAGCCUGGAUGCGUUGGUUGUGUUUCCACGUUCCAUGCCCUUGUAUUAAGCUGUGUUUGUUUCAAUGAAUUUCUUAUAAUUUUUGGCUAGAUCGCUCUUUCUGAAAGCACCGAGAAUGUUUGUCAGUUUCGGAUGGAUGAACAAGGACCUUGAUUCUUCUAGUUUUUAAUUUUUUUUGUUCAUUUGUUGAUUUUAACAGUGUGUCGGAGGAAUGACAUCAAAUCACUGUUGUCGAUACCAGGGUGAGCAUGAUGAGUCUGGUUAAUCCGUUGCUGAUCUUUGUUCUUAUACCAUCAAGUUUGGAUGUUUAUUUUCUUUAUAUUGCCUGUGGAUUUGCUAACGAAGAAGGCAGUCUCCAACAUAUUUGUCAUAUCUCUUCAAGUUACCUGGUUUCCGAUAAUGCUUGAACUUCAGCUUUCUAAUUUGUCGUGGCAGUAAAAUAAUGUGCUCACCUUCCAUCUCAGCAAAAGUUACAGUAAGAUUAGUUCUUUUGCGUCGCCGAUCUCGUGAUCCAGAGAAGUACUUCAACCACCAAUCUUACUUCAACUACCAAUCUAAGCAAGAUAUUGUCCGAAUCUCUUGUAAAUGAGCCCGAAUCAAGUUCAUUCAGCCAUCUAUAAUUACCCUUUAAAAAAAUUAUUUUAUUUUUAAAAUAAAAUUAGCAUACUGUUAGAAGAAAAAAAAAGAAGAACAAAGUAAUGGUGUUAAAAUUUGCUUAUAACAUGAAAGUAAAACUCUCAUUCUAUGUUCCAGUUAAAAAAACUCAAGUUUAUGCUAUUAAAAAAAAAAUCUAAAACAAGUUUGUUUUUGCUAAAAAAAUAAAGUGGAUUAAUUCCUUUUCUCUUAGGUUAGCCCGUCAGUUAUAGCUAUGUUUUAUAGAUCUAAAAGGCCCAAAGACUACAAAAAUAAUACUAUUGAAAACUGUUAAUCUAAACCCAGUCCGGCCCAGACGUUAGACUAGACAACAAAAACCCUAACUCAGCAGCUCCAUCUAUAUUACAACCCUAAAUUUUCACCUCCGCUUCAUCCAUCGCUCCAAGCAGAGAAAGCCGUGUCUGUCUUAGCAUCCUCACGUCCAAAGCUCGCUUUCUGGUCUCUCUCUCUCUCCCUCUCUCUCUCCACCUUUGCUCCCUUGAUAUUUCCUUGUUAACUUUGAAGCUAUUAACUCUAACGUAGAUCCAUGACAAUAAGCUGUUAACUAAUAAUCACUUUGUUUAGUUUGUGUUUUUCAUGUUCAAUGCAUAGUUGGUUUUAGCUAAAACCCAUUUUGAUUUAUGCAUGAUAUGUUCAAAAUAUGCUGGUUAAUGAAUCAUUUUUAUCUUAGAGACUAAUAGCUGAAGAACUACAAAGCGUAGGUUGGGGUACAUUUUGAAAAGAAAAAAAAGGUUGUCGAUUUUGUGUUUGGUGAAUGACUACUUGAGUUUGUGUGAAACCCGUUUUUGCUUUAUGUUUGAGAAGUUUAACAUUUUGUUAGUUUGUAUGAUAAAAUUUAAAAAGAUAGAGAUAUGGUAGUAAAUGGAAGUGUUGUUGUUGGUUUGUUUUAAUGAAUAUGAAGUGGACAUGUGUGGUUUUGAAUGGUUUUGUGCAUUUUGAUUGUGUCAUAGAAAAGUGAAAGGAGAAAAUGGCAGCAGCUUAUGGAGCUAUGAAGGCACAAAAGCCGGGUUUGGAGGAGACUCAGGAGCAGAUUCACAAGAUCAGGAUCACUCUUUCCUCGAAGGAUGUCAAAAACCUUGAGAAAGGUCUUUUCUGUAAAUCCUAUUUUACAAUGUCGUUGUCAUUGAUACGCCACGAUUUGUUAUUUUGAGUUGUAUCCUUUUUUUUGUCCUGAUUGUUCUUUCACUUGUGUUAACAGUUUGCACUGACUUGGUCCGUGGCGCCAAGGAUAAGAGACUGAGGGUUAAGGGUCCAGUGAGAAUCCCUACCAAGGUUCUUAACAUUACCACCAGGAAAUCCCCUUGUGGUGAAGGUAUUCAUCUAAAAACUCUGCUUGUAUAAUCAUGGUUAGAUUAAUUUGCAGUGUGUGGCAUUUUGUUUUAUUAUUUACUUCAUGCGCUAUUUACAAGUCCAUGUAGUAUUCAUAUUUCUUUAAUUUCAUUUGUGCUUUCUUCUAACACAUAUCACUUCAUGGGUUCCACGUGUUUGUUAUUGUAUUUUUUUCCUUCCUCUUUGGGUAAUGUUUGAAUGGCUGAUUUGUUUGAUUUGAUAAGAGUAGUUCGAGGGAGAAAUUGAGAAGGGUUAGCAACAUUACAGUUCUUUAUAGAUAUGCUCUUUUGUUUGUUACCCUUUACAACCACUACAAUAAUCAAAUGUUGGUUUGCACGCCAUGUGCAGUCUUAUUCAGUAGUAUAAUUGGUUGGUGCAUGUGAAAUAACUUCCUAUUGAUUAAAAUGCUACUUAUUUAACUUUCUAGGUGUUCUAGUCUGAGCAUAGGACCCAGGGUGGAUCAGUUAGACCAUGUUAGUUGGUCUUGUAAUGAGAAAACAAGUCAUAAUUUGCUCUACUGUUUUCCUAGUGGUGUUUGCAUACGAGUUUGCAAAGUUGAUGUUACUUCAGAAUGACUUUUUUAGGUACAUAUGAUAUAAAUGAUUGUCCCUGUAAAGGCACUCAAUAUGUGAGCUGCUGACACCAUAAAAGAUUGGAAUUUGUUGUGUGGAGUUUUUUGUUACUUUAUCUGCCAUUUUUCUCAAGGGCUUGUUCUCUUUUGCCAGUACAUCUGUUAAGCUAAAGGGUUUUGCAUGUAUAUCUUGUCAUCUUGCAGGAACCAACACAUGGGACAGAUUCGAGCUUAGGGUCCACAAGCGUGUUAUUGAUCUCUUCAGUUCUGCUGAUGUUGUCAAGCAGAUCACCUCUAUUACAAUUGAACCUGGUGUUGAGGUUGAAGUUACCAUUGCAGAUUAGAGAGAUGCUUUUUACUUCUUUUGGACUGUUUUAUUUAUUUUACUAGAACACUUCAGGAUCUUUUUUAUCGGAAGACUUUGAUCAGCAUUGUGAGUGAAAAGAAUUCAAUGUAGUAUGUUCAUUCCCCAUUCCAUGUUAAAGAUUCUGUGAAGGAGAUUGAAUUUUGUUUCCUCUUUAUUUCAUUAUGAAUUGUUAUGAUUUCAAAGUGUUCCGGUAUUGUUUCUAGCAAGAUUAAAAAAUUAUUAUAAUUGAAUUUGUUUCACUUUGAAGUUGAUGGGAUUUAUAUCUUGAUUUUUUUCAAAAAAAAGAGAAUCAACUCCCAAGGAGAUGUACAGACAUGGCUUGAUGUUCGGAGUUUGUAAAUUAAUGAAUCCACAGCCUGCCAUUGUGUGGGCAUCAUCCAGUUCUGUUUAUGGAAAAAAGUAGCCUUUUCAGAGAUUGAUAGGACUGAUAAUCCUUCUAGUCUCUAUGCUGCUACUAAGAUGGCUGGUGAGGCUAUAGCACACACUUAUAAUCAUAUUCAUGGUUUAUCAGUCACGGGGCUGCGGUUUUUCACGGUUUAUGGUCCUUGGGGAAUGCCGGAUAUGGCUUAUUUCUUUUUUACUAGGGACAUAUUGAAAGGGAAGCGGAUUUCAGUUUGUGAAGGGCUUAAUGGGUUUACUGUUUCGAGGGAUUUUACUUGCAUUGAUGAUAUAGUGAAUGGCUGUUUAGGUGCACUGGAUACUGCUACCAAGAGUACUGGAAGUGGCGGGGCCCGGCGCAAUUGCGGGUUUAUAAUCUUGGGAAUACCUCACCGGUGCCAGUUAGAAAGCUUGUUAAUAUAUUGGAGAAGCUGUUGAAGGUUAAGGCUAAUAAGGUAGUGUCGCCAAUGCCUGCAAAUGGGGAUGUGCUGUUUACUCAUG
rnacentral:lncRNA from 1 species